rnacentral:sRNA from 2 species
GGACAGUCAUCGCCGAGUCCCCGUACGGCGCGAGCCAGGGGAGCCGGGGACCCACGUGAAGUCCCUGGGGUGAAUCGGACGCCCGCGCGAGCCGCGAGGGGGUCCGUAGGAGACCUUCCUGCUCCGAACCCGUCAGCUAACCCGGUAGGCGAGAGGGAAGGAAAGG